UACAGAGGUCUCAAGCGUUGUUCGGAUUCAUUGGGCAUAAAGGGCGCGUAGGCGGUUCCGCAAGUGGCGUGUGAAAGCCCCCGGCUCAACCGGGGAAGUGCACGCCAGACUGCGGUUCUAGAGGGCGGUAGGGGGGACUGGAACUCUCGGUGGAGCGGUGAAAUGCGUAGAUAUGGAGAGGAACACCGGCGGCGAAGGCGAGUCCCUGGUCCGCAUCUGACACUGAGGCGCGAAAGCGUGGGUAGCAAACAGG
rnacentral:rRNA from 1 species